rnacentral:rRNA from 1 species
AUUGAACGCUGGCGGCAGGCCUAACACAUGCAAGUCGAACGCGUGGCGGACGGGUGAGUAAUGUCUGGGAAACUGCCCCAUGGAGGGGGAUAACUACUGUAAACGGUAGCUAAUACCGCAUACCAUCAGAUGUGCCCCGAUGGGAUUAGCUAGUAGGUGGGGUACUGGCUCACCUAGGCGACGAUCCCUAGCUGGUGUGAGAGGAUGUCCAGCCACACGGGAACUGAGACAAGGUCCAGACUCCUACGGGAGGCAGCAGUGGGGAAUAUUGCACAAUUGGCGCAAGCCUGAUGCAGCCAUGCCGCGUGUAUGAAGAAGGCCUUCGGGUUGUAAAGUACUUUCAGCGGGGAGGCGUUACCCGCAGAAGAAGCACCGGCUAACUCCGUGCCAGCAGCCGCGGUAAUAC